rnacentral:misc_RNA from 1 species
UCGUUGGGAACAUCGUGCGCUCUUUAACGUCAGUCUCAUCACGGUGCUCCGUCUUCGCACGUCUCGUAACGUCACAUCGAAAUUCAACGCGUAUCGAAAUCAGGCGAAUCGGCUAUCAAAUCGUACAGGACGUGAUUGCUGCCAAUUGGAGCGCGUUUUUCCAUUAAAACAAACGUGAUCUAAUCGCGAACGAAGCGUAAACGAACCCAUUGGGGUUUUCAACUUAAGCGUUUAAAUACAUCGCGAAAGCUGCAACUCUUCUUCAGCACGCGGACCCCACAGCGGAAUUCACGCAGGAAGAGCUCUUGGCACCUUCGAGGCGAGUCUUCGCCGAGAGGGUAUUUACCUGAACGGUGGAAAUCAUCAUCUCCGACCAGCACAAUUAAUUAGGUCAUCUAGACUGAUUGUGAGAGACAGCAUCGUGAGCGAAGCAGGGAGCGACAAAAGGUCACGCCAUGCCGGCAGGUACUGGCGCUUCGUACAGGUCUUUAGGCGACCUGGGCGAAGAUGUUUACAAAAGCACAACCAUCGUCGAUCAGACACAGACCACCGGCCAAAGCGUUCUCGAAUCCGUGAAGAAAGCUUUUAGCUUCACCUCACCGAAGGCUGAGAUGCGAAAAAAGGAUCCGCUAAUCGAAGAUCGUCGCGAAAGCGUCUCGAUCGUCUCAAGGGAGAGAAACAGGAUGCCGACAGCAGCUACUGCCGAGGAAUCUGCUCUAUUGGGCACGAUGCCUUCCGACAGCAUGGAUGACAUCGAGCUAAAAAACAUUCAGUUGCAAUUCCCGGCGCUGCGAUAUCUCUCCAGAGACGACAGCUCUGUACGAGAAGAAAGGGUGGAGACCGACAAGGGAAGUUUGCUAGUAGCGGUGCAAGGAAAUCGAGCAAAACCAGCUAUUCUUACUUAUCACGAUCUAGGCCUUAACUACAUCUCGAGCUUCCAAGCAUUCUUUAAUUACAUCGAUAUGCGUGUUCUACUUGAAAAUUUCUGUGUAUACCAUGUAAACGCACCCGGACAAGAAGAAGGCGCACCGACACUACCCGAAGAUUUUACGUAUCCGUCCAUGGAAGAGCUGGCUGAACAGCUGCUCUUUGUUCUUGGCCAUUUUGGUAUAAAAUCUGUAAUUGGUUUUGGAGUCGGAGCUGGUGCCAAUAUACUGGCAAGAUUUGCACUUGCCCAUCCGGAGAAAGUAAAUGCGCUGUGCCUGAUAAACUGUGUGUCUACGCAAGCAGGUUGGAUUGAAUGGGGAUAUCAAAAGUUGAAUGUACGCCAUCUGAGAUCGCAAGGCAUGACGCAGGGUGUUCUCGAUUAUCUAAUGUGGCAUCAUUUUGGUAGGGGGACCGAAGAACGGAAUCACGAUCUGGUUCAAGUGUACAAGAACUAUUUUGAGCGUCGCGUAAAUCCAACGAAUCUUGCAUUAUUUAUCGACAGUUAUGUUCGCCGCACGGAUUUGAACAUAACAAGAGAAUUAGACCCAACACGCAAGAAGGAGGGAUUGACGCUUAGUGUGCCAGUGAUGAACAUCACGGGUGCUUUAAGCCCUCAUGUUGACGAUACUGUAACGUUAAAUGGACGUUUGGAUCCGACAAACAGCUCCUGGAUGAAAAUAUCCGAUUGUGGUAUGGUAUUAGAAGAACAACCGGGUAAAGUAAGCGAGGCAUUUCGAUUGUUUCUUCAGGGUGAAGGAUACGUGGUGAGAUCCCCGCGGAAGCCCGUGAAGCCGACAACACCCGAAGGUAAUUGUAAUUAGGAAUUGAAGGCCGCAAGGAGAGUCAAGCGCGCAGUUGGUCAAUUAGGCCACGUCUAUAUGUUAAUGGCCCCGCUGUCGCCGUUAAAAAUGGCCGAUUUCAGACUGGCUUCCUUGGAAGGACUGAAUCACGUUUGCAGCAAGAAGAUCGACUGGCCUACUGCGACCAUACACAUCACAGAGAAUCCGAUAUCGGAGGCAGUUGU